rnacentral:rRNA from 1 species
UACGGAGGGGGCUAGCGUUGUUCGGAAUCAUUGGGCGUAAAGCGCGUGUAGGCGGCUUGGCAAGUCGGUUGUGAAAGCCCGGGGCCCAACCCCGGAACUGCAUCUGAAACUGCCUGGCUAGAGUCCCGGAGAGGAAGGCAGAAUUCCCGGUGUAGGGGUGAAAUCCGUAGAUAUCGGGAGGAAUACCAGCGGCGAAGGCGGCCUUCUGGACGGUGACUGACGCUGAGACGCGAAAGCGUGGGGAGCAAACAGG